rnacentral:lncRNA from 1 species
GGUUCUAGGUCUUGAAACUGAAAUCAGAAUGUUGAAAUCGCUAGAUCUUCAGUCACUGGCUAGGCUUCGAUGGGUGAGUCACUCAGAUUAAAAUGCAGAUUGGAGCAUGGCACCUGACCAGAGUGUCGUUUAGUGUUGCUAGGACUAGUGAAAAUGCGAUACCAUCACCAGCAGAUUUACGUACAUCUGCCAAUUUUUUGGCUAGAUCACAAUAGUCAUUUUGUUUUAACAAUUGACUAACACCAGCCAGGCUCUCCGAAGUCGGAAAGCUUACAUCCGAACGUGUCUGCGGCUGUA